UCUUCAUUUCACGUGUUCUCUCACCGGUCAGAAAGGCGAGAGAAUGUGUGAAAUGAGUAGA
rnacentral:pre_miRNA from 1 species